rnacentral:rRNA from 1 species
GACGAACGCUGGCGGCGUGCCUAAUACAUGCAAGUCGAACGCUUCUUUCCUCCCGAGUGCUUGCACUCAAUUGGAAAGAGGAGUGGCGGACGGGUGAGUAACACGUGGGUAACCUACCCAUCUGAGGGGGAUAACACUUGGAAACAGGUGCUAAUACCGCAUAACAGUUUAUGCCGCAUGGCAUAAGAGUGAAAGGCGCUUUCGGGUGUCGUUGAUGGAUGGACCCGCGGUGCAUUAGCUAGUUGGUGAGGUAACGGCUCACCAAGGCCACGAUGCAUAGCCGACCUGAGAGGGUGAUCGGCCACACUGGGACUGAGACACGGCCCAGACUCCUACGGGAGGCAGCAGUAGGGAAUCUUCGGCAAUGGACGAAAGUCUGACCGAGCAACGCCGCGUGAGUGAAGAAGGUUUUCGGAUCGUAAAACUCUGUUGUUAGAGAAGAACAAGGACGUUAGUAACUGAACGUCCCCUGACGGUAUCUAACCAGAAAGCCACGGCUAACUACGUG